UCCCACCAGGUUACUGUUCCCACUAUGUUACUGUUCCCACCAGGUUACUGUUCCCACUAUGUUACUGUUCCCACCAGGUUACUGUUCCCACCAGGUUACUGUUCCCACUAUGUUACUGUUCCCACCAGGUUACUGUUCCCACCAGGUUACUGUUCCCACUAUGGUACUGUUCCCACCAGGUUACUGUUCCCACCAGGUUACUGUUCCCACCAGGUUACUGUUCCCACCAGGUUACUGUUCCCACCAUGUUACUGUUCCCACUAUGUUACUGUUCCCACUAUGUUACUGUUCCCACCAGGUUACUGUUCCCACUAUGUUACUGUUCCCACCAGGUUACUGUUCCCACUAUGUUACUGUUCCCACCAGGUUACUGUUCCCACUAUGUUACUGUUCCCACCAGGUUACUGUUCCCACUAUGUUACUGUUCUCACCAGAUUACUGUUCCCACUAUGUUACUGUUCCCACCAGGUUACUGUUCCCACUAUGUUACUGUUCUCACCAGAUUAC
ensembl:lncRNA